GGGAGCACCGGAUCCUGGGCUGUGUCCCCCGCUGCCCUGGGAUCCGGGGCCUACGCUGCUGGAAUCGCGCUCCUGGGGCCCCGGCUCCC
rnacentral:pre_miRNA from 1 species